UUUUUAUUGUCUCUAGGGCAUAUUUCCAACAAGAACAAAGGUUUGUAGCUUUUCUGCUUUGGCGGUUGCAGCAAAAAUAAAAGGAAGAAAACACGCUACAUGCCCCACAGUCACUUUGCAGGAAGAAACUCGGUUCCACCAAACCAUGACAAUGGUUCUAGCAAAUCACGGCGCUGGUUGCAACAUUUCGUUCGAUCUUGUGAUGACGCUUCUGUCUCCGAAUCCAACAAAUCACGACACUGAUUCCAAGAAAUUGCGUCGCCAUUUGCAACAUUGUUGCAGCACACCACCGCGCUC
rnacentral:lncRNA from 1 species